rnacentral:tRNA from 1 species
CCCGGCGUGGUGAACUGGUUAUCAUGCUUGUCUGUCGAACAAGAGUAGAGGGUUCAAUUCCCUUCGUCGGGGC